UCAUCUUCUUUUUCAAGAAAUCAUUCUUAUGCAGAAGGAUCUAUAGCAGAAUGCAGUGGUCAAUGAGCUUAUUUUUGCUAUGUAGAGCAAUGGUACGUAACUGGUAAGUCAUAAAUGGACCAUUUAUAAUUCCUUUUGAUACCUUCAGUCACAAUGUCUCGUAUUAUACUAUUCCUCAAUCAGGACUAAUGAUUAUUUAAUCUAAGAUCAUUGUUUUCAUGAUUAGAACUUGGUCCCCCUCAUUAUUGUUAUGUUUCUAUUUGCAGGUAUAUCUACAUAACAUGGGGAAUGCUUCCUCAUUCGCUAGAUUUUGAUAGAGAUUUUGAUUGAGGUUAGUUUGAAUCUCAUUCCAGUCUUAUAAUAUUAAUCUUCACUCUUUUACCAGUUACAAAUAUCAUUUUUAAUGGUAAGAUCAUAACUCAUUAAAUCAGUUCAUGUUCCCUCUUAACUCUGUUUGUGCAAAGAUUUUUUGCAAAGGGAUUUGAUAGCACAUCGCAUAAAUUGAUUACACUGUCUGUCCUGAAGCUGAUUCAUCACAAACUGUCUUGUUUAGCCUAGAUUGCACUGUCUAUCCUGAAGCGAAUGCUAUUGUUCAUCAGUUUGGAUUUUUGGCUCUUGGUUAUUGGUUACUGCCUCAGUAUCACUCAUUUCUUGCUAUCUUAGGUUCUAGGUGCAGGUACUCAUCUCUUGCUAUCUUGGUUUACAGCUGUCGGAAUGUAGCAUAUACUCGAGUUGUUCAUCAUGAUCGCUUUGUAUGCAAGGGAACAAGUAACAGGACAUGUGAAAAGAGGUUGAGUUGGGUCGUUGCCACCAGAAUCAAUGGCUGCUUCACCGGAUGAAGAGGAGAUUGAACUAUCUGUUUGAGAUAUCAAAGUGUAUAUAAGAUAUAAAUGUUUUCCCAUAAAUUUCUCCUUUAAGACGGACGAUCCUGAGUUGAUGAUGAUGAUGACAAUGACGAGAGUGCAGAGAGACUUCCCAUUGUAUUGCUUACCUUGAAUGAUCUCAACAUCGAUAACUAGUUUUCACUUUUUGGGACAUUGAUUACUCUGUAGUCUGUACCAAUCCCAUAAUAAUGAAGGCAAGUUUUAUAUUUUUGGUUUCCAUAAUUAAGUAGAAAGUUAUUUUGAUCAAAUAGUUACAGGUCUAUAUUGAAUGAUUCUGAAACACAGACCAAAACGUAAAACUUGUCAAGAUCAUUACAGAAUCCAAAUAGUCUAUGUCAAUAAAACAUCUGCAGUAUAUUAACAUAGUUGAUGAUGUCAAAAUACAUGGUCGAAGGAAUGAUCCUUGGUGGCCAAUUAUAAACAAACACAAAGAAGAAGAAAACAGAGUUUUAAGAACACCAAACAACC
rnacentral:lncRNA from 1 species